rnacentral:lncRNA from 1 species
AAAGGCACUUGACAUACGUUUGCUGAAGGAAGUCAAAGAGGAGAGCCCAGACAGACAGAAGAUGUGGAAUGAUGUGCUGCCCCAAAGCAGACUCUAGGAUUGCUACUUUCUUGACUUUCACAAGCAAGGAAGGAAGCGGGAAGAGGGAGAGGAGAAACCGGUGGCUUCUCCAACCCCAGAGGGAGCCAGUCCACACCGUAACUCCUCAGGAACCUAACUGGAAACAGAAGAAUAAAAGCCGGAAUGAUCUGAGGAAGGAUAGGAGCCUCAAUGUGAGGGCUCCUCUGGGCUGUCAACUUGACUACAUCUGGAAUCAACUAAAACCCAAGUAG